GGGAUAUUAGAUUCCAACUCACCGACUUUCAAGCCGACCUUCAAACCGCGUCAACAUUUUAACCGCCUCAUUCGCCAAUACGCUUCUAUAAAUUUAACCCCACCUUCCUUCUUUUCCUUCAUUGCUUGCCCAAUUGUUUAAUCUGGUCUCUAAUAUGCGCUCUGUGUUUUGUUAGUUCUUCUCUUUUUUCUCCGUCUCAUAUGUGUAAUUUUUCUUUUCUGAUCAUCUGGUUUAGACUUUUGAUCGAUUGAUACGUCGCCAAGGUUGUUGAUUCAAUUGUCGAAUUCGUUCAAGAUGAUAAUAUUUUUUUCAAUUCGGAUCUUCUAUCAUCGAUUGCUUUAUUGAUAAUUUCUUGGUUAUUUCAAGUAUACAUCUAUAUUUUAAUGUCCGACUUUUCGAUUAUCGGUAGAUUUGUUGCUACUGUUUGCUCGGUUUCAUAGGUGAUCGAAUUGUUCUUCGUGGCGUUAAUCAUCCUGGGGUUUUAAGAGAAGAAAGGUACCGUUACCGAUAAAUUUGUUUUCCUGCUUUGGAUUUAAAAGUUUUUAAGACACUUUCGUGGUUAAUUCAAGAAAAGCUAGAUUUUGAUGUCCGAUUCUUGAUUAUUGGUAGAUUUAUUUCUACUCUUAUUAUAAAUUCCAAGAAAUUUACUGAUACUUUCGCGGUUGGUUCAAGAAUUGCAAUAUUUAAGUGUUCAAUUCUUCUAUCAUCGAUAGACACUGUUCUAGGAAUUUCCUCUGAAUUAUAGUUGAUCCAGUAGAAUCUUGGUGGUGUUACAGUCAGUGCAUUUUAAGAGAAAGGUCCAUGCUUUUUUAGGUUUCGAAUGUUUGCAAUGGAUUCGAGAUUGAUUUUUGGUUCAAGAAACUCUUGUUUGUUUCCUUUCACUUCGGUUAUUUAACAAACGUGAUAUUGAUGGUGCAAGCUUCAGUCUUUAUAUUGAUUUAAUCAAGGUGUCCUAUCUGUUUUUUUCCUUGCAAUUUCAUAUAAAUGGAUUGGGAAGGUAGGUUGUGAUGGACAAAUAGAUUAAUAAUUCUUCUUUCUGGUGUUUUGUGGCUUUGCAGUUUGGAAUUCAAUUAUUGAUCUCUGACCGUUAUAUGCCAGAGGUUAGAACGUCAGGCUGGCAAUAAAAUAAUUUCUUUGGAGAUUCUAUUUUCUAUCAACAAUCGGACAAUAAUUUGAUAUCAUCUUUAGGAAGUUUUCCAUCCUUUUUAACCUCAUCUUUAUUGUUCUUCAAAAAGUUGCUUCUUAUUCAAGCUUAAUCUUUCGUGGCGGCAAAUAAAAUGAUUUUGAUUUUGCAAUUAGGAACAUGUAAAAAGUUUUUUUGUUUGUUUUUCUUGAUGCAAGUAAUUUAAGUUUCUCCGGAAUGCUACAUUUAGUAACUUGGAAUCUGUUGGAUUUGAGUUGUGUCGUCAUAGGAAAUUUAUCUGUUAUAGAUGAUUGAGAAGCAUCUCAACGGCGUUAAUCAUUUGUCGACUUAAAGAAGGCAUAAGGUACAUGGUUUUUGUCUGUCUAUUUUGUAGUGAAUUGAAGUUGAUUUUCUGAUUCUAGAAACUUGUUUGUUACCUUUAGUAUGUUUCUGUAGUGACGUUAAACGUUCUGAUUUUGAUAGUUAAAGCAUCAAAUUCCAUGCUGAUUUUCCUUAGAACAUCAUAUCUACUUUUUUUGUUUCCAGAAUCUUGAUAAACAGAUAUAUGAUUUUUCUAGUUAGGACGUGAUAGGUGUAGUAUAUCCUUUGCUAGUGUUUUACUACUUUGCUGUCUGGAAUUCAAUUAUUGAUUUCUGGGAGGUUAAAUUGAACAUUUGACUAUUGAUAAAUUUUCUAUCUCAUUAGCCUCUUGUUUCUAUUGUUCUUGAAGAUGUUGUUAUAUUGAUGAUUUUGUUGUUUUUCAAGAACAAGUAUACCCUGAUGUUAGAUUUGUUCAUGAUCGAAUAGUUCUUUGUGGGCUGUGGCAUUACUCAUCCUGUGAUCUUAAGGAGGCGAAAGGUACCACUAUCGAUAAAUCUGUUUUUUAUGUUUGGAUUCAGUAGCUUUUAAAAAGCUAUGUUUUGUUGUUCGAUUUAGGAUUGGUACUUUAGAGUUUAAUUCAAGAAUUGUAAUUUUUUGAUGUCCGACUUAGUGGAUAUGCUGUUUGGUGGCGUUGAUCAUUCAGCAAGUUUAGAGAGAAAGAUUCUUGCUAUUUUGGUUCGUGGAUUGAAGUUUGAUUUUCGGUCCAAGAAACUCUUGUUUUCUUUAAUUUGUUUUUCUUGUUUUGUGAUUUAAUGGUGCUAAGAUUAGAGUAUACACUUAUUCUCUCAGGAUCUCCUAUUCGUAUUAUUUUUUUUCCAAUUUCAUAUAAAUUGAUAUCUUAUUUGGGAAGCUUGGCCAUGAUAGAUGUAAUAGAUCAUUGGUAUACUUUUCUGGUGUUUUUUUUGGCUUUGCAGUCUGGAAUUCAAUUAUGUUGAUGUAUGCUGGAGUUAGAACAAUCGAAUACUAAGAAAUACUUUUCUUUGGAGCUUUGUUUUCUCAUAACAUUCGAAUGAUGAUUAGUCGUUGGAACCCGAGUGUCAGUUUUGUAAGUUACCCGUCCUUUUAGAUUGUUUUUCAAGAAGUUGUUUCUUAUUUAGGCUUAUUCUUUCGUUGCAGCAAUGAGAAGAUUUUCUGGGACCGCGCAUUUGGGUACAUGAAAGGGCUAUUUGUUUAUUUUUGUUUUGAUGCAAGAAAUUAAGUUGUUCCUCCGUAAUGCUAUGUCUAGUGACUUGGAUUAAGUAGGGGCAUUUGAGGCAUUUGUAGUUUAGUAAGUUACAAAUCUUAUGGGUAAGAAGGUGAAAUUCCCUAGGUAACAUUUUUUUUUUUGCUGUUUUAGGAAAUUUAUUUGCUUCAUAGAUGAUCGAGUAGCUUCUUUGAGGCAUUUCAUUUGGUGUUUUAUGAAGGUGGAAAGGUACAUGCUUUCUUAGCUGUGCAGUUUCAUAGUUUGAAAUUCAAUUAUUGAUUUUAUUGAUUUCUUGCUUGGAGGUUUGAGCGAGCACCGACUAUCAAUAAAUCAUCGCUUCCUAGUGGCCUCCUUGUUUUGAUUGUUCUCUUGGAUGUUGCUUUAUUCAUGCUUCGUCGUUUUUUUAGGAACCACUAUAUCUUGAUGGUAGAUUUGUUGAUACUGUGUGGUCCUUUAAAAAGAUGAUCAAAUAGUUUUUUGUGGUAUUUAUCAUUCGGUGAUUUUAAAGUGUAGAAAGGUACCAACAUUGUUAAAUAUGUAUUGCAUGUUAAGAUUCAAGAUUGAUUUUCAAUGAUUUUCAAUCCAAGAAACUGUUUGUUUCUUUUCUCUUCGGAUAUUUAACAAAUGCGAUUUUUAUGGUGCAAGCUUCAGAUUCUAGAUUGAUUCAGUUAAGGUUUCCAAUCUGUUUUAUCCUUGCAAUAUCAUAUGAGUGUAUAGGUUAUUUGGGAAGGUAGGUCAUGAUAGACGUGAUCAAUAAAUGUUCUUUUUGGUAUUUCGUGGCUUUGUAGUUUAGUAUUUAAUUACUGAUCUUUGUCUGUUAUAUGCUGGAGGUUAAAACGCCUGGCUGCUGAUAAAUCUAUUUCUUUGGAGAUUUUAUUUUCUAUUGACAUUUAGACAAUGAUUAGUCUUUGGAACUUGGAUGUCGUUUUUAGGAAGUUUUCCAUCCUUUUAGCCUCUUGUAUCUCUAAUGCUCUUCAAAAAGUCGCUUCUUAUUCAGCUUUAUUCUGUCGUGGCAACAACUAUAUUGGUUUUCGGAUUUUUAGUGGCGUUAAGCGUUUGGAUUUUAAUAGUUCAAGUAUUAAAUACAUGCUAAUUUUCUCGAAACAUCUUAUCUACUUUUUUUUGUUUCCAGAAUCUUGAUAAACAUAUCUGAUUUUUCAAAUUAGGACGUGAUAGAUGUAAUAAUCGUGACUUUGCAGUUUGGAAGUCAGGAAUUCAUUUAUUGAUUUUUUGCUCGGACUGUUUAUAAAUUUCCCAUUUUGAUAGCCUCCUUGUUCCUAUUCUUCAUGAUGUUGCUAUAUUGAUGAUAUUGUUAUUUCUAGGACAACUAUACCUUGUUGGUAGACUUUUAGAUGAUCGAAUAGUUCUUCGUGGCAUUAAUCAUCCUGUUAUUUUAAGGAGGCGAAGGUACCAGUAUCAUAAAUCUUUCUAUCCAUGUUUUGAUACGGUAGCUUUUAAAAAGCUAUGUUCUGUUGUUCGAUUUAGGAUUGGUAAGAUUUAUUGAUACUUUCGAAGUUAAUUCAAGAAUUGCAAUAUUUGAUUCUCGAUGCUUUGAGGAAAUUCAUCUGUUUUGUAGAUGAUGAAGUAGCUUCUUGGUGGUGUUAUUCAUUUAGGAUUGGUGUUGUUCGAAAUACCAACAUCGGUAAAUCUUUUUUGUCCAUGUUUGGAAUUAGCUGCUUUUGAAAAGUUAUGUUUUGUUGUUCGGUUCAGGACUGGUAAGAUUUAAUGAUACGGUCCAGGUUAAUUCAAGAAUUUAAUAUUUUAAUGUUCGAUACUUCGAAGAAUUCCAUCAUUUUUACAGGUGAUGGAGUAGUUUCUUAGUGGCGUUGAUCUUUCAACAAUUAUAAAGCGGAAGGUUUUUGCUAUUUUAAGGUGCUAAACGUACUAGUAUCGAUAAAUCUGUUUUUCCAUGUUUUGAAUUAGUAGCUUUUGAAAAGCUAUGUUUUGUUGUUCGAUUCAGGAUUGGUAAGAUUUAUUGAUAUACUUUUAAGAUUAAUUCGAGUUUUGCAAUAUUUUGGUGUUCGAUACUUCGAUUAUUUGUUGAUAUGAUUAUCCUGUGAUUUCAUAUAGAUGAUGGAGUAGUUUCUUAGUGGCCUUGAUCAUUCAAUGAUUUUAAAAGGGAAGGUUCUUGCUAUGUAGCUAUUUUAAGGAAGUGAAACGUAUCAAUAUCGAUGAAUCUUUUUUUCCAUGUUUGGAUCUAGUAGCUUUUUAAAAGCUAUGUUUUGUUGUUCGAUUCAGGAUUGCAAGAUUUAUUGAUACUUUUGAGGUUAAUUAGGAAUUGCAGCUGAUGCUUUGAUUAUUAGUUGAUAUGUUUAUCUUGUGAUAUGAAUUUUAUAUAAUUUUAUAUAGAUGAUGGAGUAGCUUCUUGGUGGCGUUGAUCAUUCAGUGAUUUUAAAGUGAAAGGUUCUUGUUAUUAUUAGGAGGCGAAAUACCAGCAUCGACAAGUUUUUUUUUACCAUGAUUGGAAUUAGCUGCUUUGAAAAGCUAUGUUUUGUUGUUCGAUUCAGGACUGUAAGGUUUAUUGAUACUUUCGAGGUUAAUUCAAGAAUUGCAAUAUUUUGAUGGCUAAUAUUUCAAUUAUUAGUUGAUAUUUUGAUCUUGUGAAUAAAUUUCAUAUAAAUUCAUAUAGAUGGAGUAGCUUCUUGGUGGCAUUGAUCAUUUAUUGAUUUUAAAGAGAGAGGUUCUUGCUAUUUUUUGUUGUCAAUUAAUUUUUGUCCAAGAACUCUCUUUGCUUUUUUUAGAUUUUUUUCCUUGUUUGCGAUGUAGUCUGUGCUAAGCCUAUAGUUUACUUGAUUUUUUGAGUGUGUUAUUUGGGAAGCUAUGACGUGAUAGAUCUACUAAUUCAUUGGUGUUUGCAGUCUGGAAUUCAAUUAUGCGGUUGAGAUUAGAAUGACUGACUAUUACAAAGAUAUUUCUUUAGAGAUUUGUGUUCUCUAAACAUUCAGAUUAGAAUUAGUCCUUGGCACCUAGAUAUCAGUUUUAAAAACUAACUAUCCUUUUUAGACUCCUAUCUUUUUAUUGUAUUUCAAGAAGUUGCUUCUUAUUCAGGCUUCUUUCGUGACGAUAAUGAGAAGCUUUUUUGGGAUCGCGCAUUUUCGUACAUGAAUAGGCUUUUUGUUAAUUUUUUUUGUGGUGCGAAUAAUUAAGUUCCUCCGUAAUGUUAUGUCUAGUGACUCUGAUUAUCUUAUGGGUAAGAAGGCGAAAUCCCUGUGGUAACAUUUGUUUUUAUUUUUGCUUGCUGUUCUAUGAAAUUUAUCUACUUCAUAGAUGAUCGAGUAGCUACUUGAGGCAUUUCAUUUGGUGAUUUAUGAAAGUGGAAAGGUACAUGCUAUAUUCAUAAUAUCGUUAUUUCUGGAACAACUAUAUCUUAAUGUUAGAUUUGUGGAUAAUCGAAUAGUUCCUCAUGGCAUUAAUAAUCUUGUGAUAUUGAAGCUGAGGGAGGCAAAAGGUAUUUGUAUCAAUAAAAUUUCUUCGAUUCAGGAUUAAUAAUAUUUAUAGAUAUGGUCGAGGUUAAUUGAAGAAUUUUAAAAUUUAAUUAUUUUUAUAGGUGAUGGAGUAGUUUCUUGGUGGUGUUGAUCAUUCAACGAUUACAAAGCGAAAGGUUUGUGCUAUUUUAAGGUGCGAAACGUACCAGUAUCGAUAAAUCUGUUUUUCCAUGUUUGGAAUCAGUUGCUUAUGAAAAGCUAUGUUUUGUUGUUCGAUUCAAUAUUGGCAAGAUUUAUUGAUACUUUCUAGGUUAAUUCAAGAUUUGCAAUAUUUUGAUGUCCGAUACUUCGAUUAUUAGUGGAUGAGUUGAUCCUCUGAUAUUAAUUUCAUAUAAUUUCAUAUACAUGAUAGUGUAGCUUCUUAGUGGCCUUGUUCAUUCAACGAUUUUAAAGGGAAAGAUUCUUGCUAUUUUAAGGAGGUGAAAGGUAUCAAUAUCGGUUAGUCUUUUUCUCCAUGUUUGGAAUUAGUAGCUUUUUAAAAGCUAUGUUUUGUUGUUCUAUUCAGGUUAGUAAGAUUUAUUGAUACUUUCGAGGUUAAUUCGUGAAUUGCAAUUUUUUGAUGGUCGAUGCUCUGAAUAUUAAUUGAUAUGUAUUUUUGUGGUAUGAAUUUCAUAUAGAUGAUGGAGUAGCUUCUUGGUGGCGUUGAUCAUUCAGUGAUUUUAAAGUGAAAGGUUCUUGUUAUUUUGGUUUGUGAAUCAAUUUUUCUUUAGAGAUUUGUGUUCUCUUAACAUUUAGAUUAGGAUUAAGCCUUGGAACCUAGAUAUCAGUUUUAUAAAUUAACCAUCCUCUUUACUCUCUUAUCUUUUUAUUGUAUUUAAAAAGUUGCUUCUUAUUCAGGCUUAUUCUUUCGUGAUGGUAACGAGAGGAUUUUUGGGGACCGUGUAUUUGGGUACAUGUAAGGGCUUUUUGCUUAAUUUUUUAUGAAGCAAGUAAUUAAGUUGUCCCUCUUUAAUGCCAUGUCUAAGCAAGGGCAUUUGUGGUUUAGUAAGUUACAUAUCUUAUGGGUAAGAAGGCGAAAUCCUUGUGGUAGGAAAUUUAUUUGCUUUAUAGAUGAUCAAGUAGCUUCAUUGAGGCGUUUCAUCUAGUGAUUUAUGUAAGUGGAAAGGUACAUGCUAUAUUGAUGAUAUCGUUUUUAUUUCUAGAACAACUAGACCUUAAUGGUAGAUUUGUAGAUCAUCGAAUAGUUCCUCGUGGCAGUAAUUAUGCUGUGAUUUUAUGGAAGCUGAAGGAGGCAAAAGGUACUUGUAUCAAUAAACCGUCUUUCCAUGUUUGGAUUCACUUGCUUUUAAAAAGCUAAGUUUUGUUGUUCAAUUUUGUAUUGAUAAGAUUUAUUGAUAUUUUCGAGGUUAAUUCAAGAAUUUAAAAAUUUAAUGUUCUAUAAUUUGAAAAAUUUAAUCUGUUUUAUUGAUUAUGCUAUAGUUUGUUGGAGGCGUUGAUCAUUCAUUGAUUUUAAAGACAAAGGUUCGUGCUAUUUUAAGGUGCGGAUGUAUCAACAUCAAUAAAUUUGUUUUUCCAUGUUUGGAAUCAGUAGCUUUUGAAAAGCUAUUUUGUUUGAUUUAGGAUUGGCAAGACUUACUGAUACUUUCGAGUUUAAUUCAAAGAAUUGCAAUAAUUUUAAUUCCGAUACUUCUAUUAUUAGUGGAUAUGUUGAUCCUAUGAUAUGAAUUUCUUGUAAUUUUCAAAUAGAUGAUGGAGUAGCUUCUUAGAGUUGUUGAUCAUUCAGCGAUUUUAAAGGGAAAGGUUCUUGCUAUUUUAAGGAGGUGAAAGGUAUCAGUAUCGACAAAUCUUUUUUUCCAUGUUUGGAAUUGAUUGUUAAGUGGAUAUGUUGAUUUUGUGAUAUGAAUUUCAUGCUCCCUCCAAUUCAGCACUAGUGUUCUAUUUCUAUAUUGCUACUUCUGUGCUGGAAUUUAUGAGGGUUAUGUUGCUUCAUCUAUUCUGGUUGGUAGAACUGAUCAUUGAUUAGUGUUAUGGUGUCCACCUAUGAUUGCGUUUAUACAAAACAACUGAUGACUAGCUGUUUAUCAGUAGUUAAGUAUUGGGGAAGUCUUCCCUCUCUAGCCAAUUUUGACUAGUUCAUAUGUGGUAUAGGGUAAUCAAUCCCUCCCAUUCUUUUUAGAACUUGAAUUUUGCAAGCUUGUAAUGUUAUGAAAUUUACAUUAAAGACUUAGGAUCCAAAUUUUGAAAUGCACAUUUAACUGCCAACACUAAUUGAGUUAAAACUAUAAGUGGCCUUUUUGUGUUGCAAGGCUUGUAUUUCCCUAAGAAAUCCCAAGUCCAAUACAUUCAUAUCCAAUUGGCAGCAUCUUUAUGGAAAUCGAACCCAUCUAUUGUGGCAGCUUCUUUGAACAAUCUAUCGUUGUCCAAGAUAUGCAGUUUAGCAUUAUCUUGUUGAAUAUAUAUUGUUUUUGAUGUACCAAUUGGCCAUUUUUCUCUUAUUGCUGGUAGAACUUGGUCUAUUAACAUUGUCCUUGUUUGAUCCUUUGUGAUUGAUUGAAUAGGCUUGGUUUCCAACUCUCCCCUCCUUCUAUUCUUGGAGUUCCUUUGGGUUGGAACUUUAAGCAUAAUCUUUGGUAUAUAUUGUUUGAUUGUAUUUCUUGAUUGGGUUCAGUUUUGGUUAAGUAGAAUUGUUUUUCAUCUAUGUGUACAAUGUUGGACUUGUCUUUGAACUUAAUUGUUGCCGACUCUACAUUGAAUCUAGUAGAUGAUAGAAAAAAGGAUAACUUGGUUAACUUGUUGUCGUUGAAUGUGGGUUUAAUUGCAUUUGUGUGCUUGCGAAUUAAAUUUCUCAUCAUCGAAAGCGAUAAUGGUCUUGGAUGGCAGCCCCUUCUUUUUGUUAUUCAUGUUAAUAACAACACCAUUUGGUUUUUUUUUUUUUUAAUUUCUCCAAGUAGAGGUAUUAAUUUCCUUCCUUUUUUCAAGAUAGAUUGGAAGUUAAUAACCUUAUGGUUUAUUUUGUAGGUGCUUUGCAUUGCUGCAAUGCUGAUACAACUCUUACUGAGUAAAUAGUUGCAUUUUCAAUUACGCCAAUUUUUUUAAAAAAAAUAAUAAAGAUGAUGUGAUGUCGGUUGGACACAUGGAAUAACGGUCAGAGUGCUAAUAGAUUUACAUUGUUAAUUGAUUUUUUGUUGGAAAUUCUUAUCUUGUUUAAUUUAUUUUCUGAUACAUGUGUGAAUUGGUUUGCAUCCUACAAGUGAGGCUAUGAGCUCAUGUGUCCUCGUGUUUGGUUUUUAAUGCAGCCCUUUCACAUGAAAAUCGUUGCUAUGGGGACUUUUUCAUGUUUUAAGUUUGUUUUUUUUUUUUAGUGAUUCUCCUUAUAACUUCUUGUUUGUUGGUGUAUUGGAUUCUUCAAGAAUUGCAAUUUUGUAGAGAAUUUCAGCGUAUCUUUAUGUGGAAAUCAAAACAAAAUUAUAAUGAGGACAGUCAAAUUUAGAUGUGAUACUGAACAACUUAUGCUACAAGUAAUAUUAAUAGCACUAUAAAUAUACUUCUAUAAGAAGAAUAUAUAUAUAUAUAUAUAUAUAUAUAUAUAUAUAUAUAUAUAUAUAUAUAUUUUGUAGUAGCUCACUCUUAUACUUCUAUAAGAUUUUUUUUAUGUUUGGAGGCGAAUGAGAUGAAAGGCUUUAAGUUUUUUUCUUUUUGGAGAUUAGUAAAUUAGUUGUUGUUAUGUGUUUUUUUUUUUGUAGACUUUAGCAUGGAUUGUGUUAUAGCUUUAUUUCAUUGUUUUUUAUUCUAUAUUUAGAAGAGAAUAGGAGUCAAAACCACUUUGGCUUUUCGUGGAAGUAUACAAAAUGUUUAACUCAGUGCCUUUUGCAUUAAGCAAUCCUAAUAAAACUAUUAUGCACACCUUUUAUUGAUUUUCUUUUUCAACAAUUGUCAUUGAUAUUUAGAUUUAUAUUGUGAUGCAAUUUAACUUGUAGGAAAUGUGAAGCACAAUGAUCUUGAUUGCUUUCGUACUAUGUUGAAAUAAGAAAAGGUAUUGGUGUGCUUGAUUUUUUCAAGAUAGAUUGGAAGUUGCAAUUCUUGCGGUUUGUUUUGUAGGGGAUUUGCACUGUCCAUGCUGGUUCAAGUCAUAGCGAGUAUGUUUGCAUUUUUGAUUAUGCCAUGUUAUUUUUUUAUCAUAAUAAUAUAGAUGAAUGUGAUCUCGGCUGGAGGCACGAAGAGAUAUUGGAGUAAUGGUUAUGGUGCUGACAGAGUCACAUUAGUAAUUGAACUUUUGUUGAUUUGAGGGGCUUACAACUUGCAUUUUUUAAUAUUUCAGUUUUAAGAAUUAGUUUGUGUAAUUAUGCUUCGUUUUUGGCUAAUUGUUGCCUUUUCUUGUAAAGAGGUGGAAGAUUUUUUCAUCUUUGGAAUGUUUCAGUUUUAAGUAUGGAAGGUCUGGAGUUUAUUUUCUGUAAAUUAGUUGAUUUUCUAGAUGUAUCUUGAAUGGUGAAAUAUAUGCUUUUCCUUUACUUUUGUUUCCUCUGUUUUUAUUAUCCAGCAAAGAUUAGAGGUGUAAUUCCUUUGAGAAGGUAUACAAACAAGCUAAACGUGGGUUAUCUGCAUUGAGCAAUCCCUGACCAAGCGUCAAGUCAUUGUGGUUCUUUCUCAAUUGAUAUUUGCUGUUGUGAUGCACUUUGACUUGUAGAAAAUAUUUCGAUGCGGUCUUGAAUGGUUUGAUCGUUUGCUAUAAUUAUUAUCAUGUUUACUGUGUUUUCAUAAGGAGAAAAAGUUGGUUGAUAUUGAAGUAAUGGUUUGGGUGCCGACAGAUUUACAUUCUAGAUUAGAUUAUUACUCAUGUGCACUACAAUUAAUAUCCUUUUAUUUUCUUUCUGUUCAGAGAUAUAUUGGUUGACAACUUAUGCUCGUGGGUUUACAUUUUUUAUGAUUUUUUAGAUUUAAAUUUGUUUUAUAGUUUUUUCUUCUCAUUUCUUGAUUAUUUUGUGUUUCAUAGACGAUUUUCAAAUGCUAUUUGUAUUGAUAUUGCUAUUCAACAUUUGGCAUUGAUAUUUGCUCUUUGAUGCAAUUCGAUUUACAGGAUUAUUUUAUCGCACUUUUUUGAAUGGCUUCUUGCUGUUUGUUAUGGAAGGAGGUACUAUUUUCCUUCAACAAAAAUUGAAGCCAUCACAUCUUCACUAGCCAGAUCCUAUUUUCACAAAAUCCUAUUGAUUUAUCAUGGCUGAACGCAUGGGGACAUAUUGUCUUUUUGGUGACAUAUUGUCUUUUAAAAAUUAGCCCAUGUUUCUUGGCGUUUGCAGUUAUGGACAUUGUUCGUACAUGUGCUAGACAUGGAGAUAUUAGAAGAAUAGUUAAGGUGCUCAAAGUUUUACUUUCUCGAUGAGCUUCUGGUCUCGUGCACUCCCAUGUAUUAAUCAAUGAAGGUUGAUAUUGUUAAAGAGAUAUAAAUGAUUCUUAUAGUGUAUUGUCUUUUCUUUCAGAGA